AUUGAACGCUGGCGGCAUGCUUUACACAUGCAAGUCGAACGGCAGCGCGGGCUUCGGCCUGGCGGCGAGUGGCGAACGGGUGAGUAAUACAUCGGAACGUGCCCAGUAGUGGGGGACAGCUCGGCGAAAGCCGGAUUAAUACCGCAUACGACCUGAGGGUGAAAGCGGGGGAUCUUCGGACCUCGCGCUAUUGGAGCGGCCGAUGGCAGAUUAGCUAGUUGGUGGGGUAAAGGCCUACCAAGGCGACGAUCUGUAGCUGGUCUGAGAGGACGACCAGCCACACUGGGACUGAGACACGGCCCAGACUCCUACGGGAGGCAGCAGUGGGGAAUUUUGGACAAUGGGCGAAAGCCUGAUCCAGCAAUGCCGCGUGUGUGAUGAAGGCCUUCGGGUUGUAAAGCACUUUUGGCGGGAACGAAAAGGAUUGUGCCAAUACCACGGUUCGAUGACGGUACCCGCAGAAUAAGCACCGGCUAACUACGUG
rnacentral:rRNA from 1 species